CAGCAGUAGCCGCGGUAAUACGUAGGGGGCGAGCGUUGUCCGAAGUUACUGGGCGUAAAGGGCUCGCAGGCGGUUUCUUAAGUCUGAUGUGAAAGCCCCCGGCUCAACCGGGGAGGGUCAUUGGAAACUGGGAAACUUGAGUGCAGAAGAGGAGAGUGGAAUUCCACGUGUAGCGGUGAAAUGCGUAGAGAUUGGAAAGAACACCAAUGGCGAAAGCACUCUGCUGGGCCAACACUGACACUGAGAGACGAAAGCUAGGGGAGAAAAUGGGAUUAGAUACCCCUGUAGUCCCUGUCUCUUAUAA
rnacentral:rRNA from 1 species